rnacentral:rRNA from 1 species
CGAUCUGAAAUAAGGCAAGACUACUGGCUGAAUUUAAGCAUAUAAUUAAGCCAAGGAAAAGAAACUAACAAGGAUUCCCCUAGUAACGGCGAGUGAAGCGCGAAGAGCUCAAAUUGAAAAGCGUGCGUUCCCUGUUGAAUGUCACGCGUUGUAAUCUAUAGAAGUGUUGUUAGCAAACCGACCAGAUCUAAAUUCAUUGGAAUGUGAUGUCAUAGAGGGUGAGAACCCCGUUUAUGGGCUUGGCUACGGAUGCGUCCGACGCACUUUCGAAGAGUCGCGUUCCUUGGGAUUGGAGCGCAAAGUUGGUGGUAAACUCCAUCUAAAGCUAAAUAUUUGCGAGAGACCGAUAGCGAACAAGUACCGUGAGGGAAAGAUGAAAAGAACUUUGAAAAGAGAGUUAAAAAGUCCUUGAAAUUGCUGGAAGAGAAGCGAUUUGAGCAAGUGAUGUCGGUAGGGUACUUUCUUGUGUGCACCGUUGCCGAUGUCACCGGUUACGAGGAGACGCGAGUCCUUCGUCUGGAGACUUGUUGGCUGUGGUGUUGCGAGGUUCUGUCCUGCCGGAUUCGUCAGAAUCAGUUUGGAGCAUAGACGAAAGCCCGUAGGGAAGGUAGAGUGGUUGGAGCCUUGCGUUCCGAUUGCUUGUUACAGCCCUGUGGUUAUACUCGUGCUCUGGACUGAGGCCUACAGUGCUCGCUCCCAUUCCGGGAGUAGUGUGGUGCUCCGUUUUCUUGUGCGUCGCGUCCUUGGACAGCAAAGCUGUGUCUGGCGUUGUGCGUUUGCAUUGAGGUGGCAGCCCAACAGAGCAUUCGAGACUCUGACAAAAAUUGCUCGAACCGACCCGUCUUGAAACACGGACCAAGGAGUCUAACAUAUAUGCGAGUAUGAGGGUGUGAAAACCCAUAAUGCGAAAUGAAGGUGAAGGUUGAUUUGUUUGACCGAGAUCAUAUCCUGUCACCCUUUCGGGGGUGAUGGGUGCCUGAUCGGCCAACCCAGCCUCGUGUUGGGGAUGAGCAAGAGCAUAUCUGUUGGGACCCGAAAGAUGGUGAACUAUGCCUGAGCAGGGUGAAGUCAGGGGAAACUCUGAUGGAAGCUCGAAGCGAUACUGACGUGCAAAUCGUUCGUCUGACUUGGGUAUAGGGGCGAAAGACUAAUCGAACCAUCUAGUAGCUGGUUCCCUGCGAAGUUUCCCUCAGGAUAGCUGGAACUCACACGCAGUUUUAUCAGGUAAAGCUAAUGAUUAGAGGCACCUGAAUUGAAACAAUUUGGACCUAUUCUCAAACUUUAAAUGGGUAAGACGCCCGGUGUUGCUUGAUUUGAACCCGGGCCUACGAAUGCGUAGUUCUUAGUGGGCCCUUUUUGGUAAGCAGAACGGGCGAUGCGGGAUGAACCGGACGCGUGAGUAAGGUGCCAAAGGUGUUGGCUCAUUUAGACCCCAUGAAAGGUGUUGGUUNAUAUAGACAGCAGGACGGUGGUCAUGGAAGUCGAAAUCCGCUAAGGAGUGCGUAAC